UUUUCCAAAAAAAUAUACAUCAACCGGCAGAGGAAGAAAGGAAGCUUCUUUAGAGAGGCUACUAUUUGCUCCGUCGACGUGCGAAGCGCCUUAAAAGAUCCAUCCCGACGCUUGAAGAGGGCAGCCGGAGAGGGAAGGGGGAAAUCCGAAACCCUAACCCUAACCCUAACCCGAGAGAGAGAGAGAGAGAGAGAAUGGACGCCAUUAGGAAGCAGCUCGACGUGCUCAUGGGGGCCAACCGCAACGGGGACGUGAGGGAGGUGAGCCACAAGUACUACGACCGUGACGUCUGCCGCCUCUUCUUGGCCGGCCUCUGCCCGCACGACCUCUUCCAGCUCACGAUCCCAAGACUUGUUCACAAUAGCAGUGGGCUUCCAUCUCAUCUACUCUGUUUAACUUGGCCUGGGACUGCACUGCUCAUAAAAAUGGAUAUGGGUCCUUGUCCGAAGAUUCACUCCUUGCAGCUGAGAAAGGAAUAUGAAGAGGCAAAAGUAAAAGGUGAUCAUAAUUUUCAUAGGGAACUUGAGGAUAUGAUAGAAAGACUUAUUGUUGAGUGUGAAAGGAAAAUUCAAAGGGCUCUAAAGCGACUUGAGGAUGAGGAUGCUACUGCUGCUGUAGCAAUAUCCGUAUCUAAGGUUACUCAGACACCUGAAGUCAUGGAACUGUCGAAACAGAUAAAGGAGAAACUAAAAGAAGCUGAUGUUUUUGAUUUCGAAGGAAAAACUGAUAGUAAAAUGCGGGUUUUAGAAUUGGUGGAAGACCUCAAAGGCCAAAGAGCUGACAAGCAGUCGGUGCUUCUUCUCGAUGCCUUCAACAAAGACAGGGCUUCUUUGCCAUUGCCAAAUCAGAAUCCUUCUCAACCAGCAUCCUUGCCUGUUGUCAAUCCUCCAGAUCGUCAUACACAGGAAAUGAUCAAUGAAAAACUUAAGAAAGCAGAGGAUCUUGGUGAGAGGGGACUGAUAGAUGAAGCCCAGAAAGCUCUAGAAGAAGCAGAAACUCUGAAAAAGCUGGGUGCACGGCAAGAGCCAAUCCUAGAAUCAUCAAAGUAUAGUGUUGCUGACGUACGAAUAACAGAUCAGAAGUUGCGUGUAUGUGAUAUAUGUGGAGCAUUCUUGAGCGUCUAUGACAAUGAUCGUCGCUUGGCUGAUCAUUUUGGAGGAAAACUUCACCUUGGCUAUAUGCUAAUCCGUGAAAAACUAGCAGAACUCCAGGUGCUGGUAUAAUGUUUCGCAUUCUCCAGUAAAGAGUUACGAUUAUUUUUGGCAUCAGUGAGUUUUCUUCCCUCAAUUGAAAAAUCACCACCAUGUAGUUAUGUUGAGUUUCUGUCUUCACUUCUUUUACUUGGCUAGUACAUUGUCAUGUGGGAGGGUCCCUUUGAAGUAGUGGACAUAUAUGGACUCAGAGAACUUCAUUCCUGUCCCCCGUCACGACAACUGCAAUCACUUAAGUCAAAGAAACUGUAAGCAGAUAAACAGUAUGUAGAGCAUAUUAAAAUUGGCAGCAUAGCAUUGUGUUUUUUCAUUUUGAUGUAACUGCUCACUUAUUCCUGACCUUGGUUCUUAUUUGUGAUUUUGGGUUGGAAACUAAGCAACAUUGCAACAGUUGUUUGGUAAAUUAUGAGCAAUUUUAACAAUAACUGUUUAUAUGAUUUGAAUGUUCGUUUUUAAGCAACUAAUUUGCCUAGUUAGCAAAGUUUUUGGAAUUUACAAUGUCAUAAUGUGAUCAUCUCAUGCAAAUGAAUUCUGGAAUAGUUAUCCCUUAAUGUUAUAUGUUCUUCCCCAGUGGAGUUUGUAGAUCAUUAAUUCACUGCUUCUCAUUCAUAUAUUACAUGACAUGACAUGGACAUGGUAUUUAUUUGCAUGCAUUACUAAUGAUUUUAUAUAUGAAUACAUGUUUUGUAAAAGUCAUGAUCAUCAUUCUUGUACUACAUGUAAAUUGUAAAGGAUUAAAAUCAUUCACUAAGUACCUCGUAUUCAUAUACCAAACAUUAAGGAGAUAUUCACAGUAAUAGUAAGAUCCAAGCAAAUAAUCCAUAUUGAUAUAAUUCCUGCAAUAAUAACAUGUCAUUAAUAAAUCUAGAUGAUGCAUAUGCUGGUGUUAGACUGGUGUCGGACAUGAAUGCUCCAAGCAUUUGAUGUGGUUGUGAUGCAUUAUUUCUCAUUUCUGAUUGCAUCCUGAAUUUCUCGUCAAUUGUGUCCAAGGUUAUCUUAGAUGAUGGUGUUAUUAUGUGACUAGGAGAAAUUAAUUGUUUACUACUAUGUUAUCAAUUAUGUGCUGUAACCUUUGGUCAUUCUACUAUUCUUCCGAGAAUUCUUAAUUGUAGCUGAAAGUAAAUAUAAAGUGACACUCCCUGAAAGUGGUCAAUGUCAAAUUAUUUAGUUUAUGAAUGCCAUCCCAGAAGUCAUUUUCAUAGAAAUGGUUAGAUAAACUUCUAUAACUUAUUUGCACUUUGAUGACUUUGGAACAUGGAGAAUUGAACUCUGUGGAGUGGACUAUAACCAUAGCUGUUUGUAGCCUGUGAAUUAUGUGAUAUGGCUACAGCUGCUUGUUUAUUUUUAAGAUUGGUGCAUCUUCACAAUCUAUUUUGCCAGGAAGAGAGGAACAAAAAACGAAAAGUUGAUCGAUUUGAAGAUGAUAGGAGGGCAAAAGAUCAAAGUAGGGAUCGUGAUAGGGCUGGAAGCAGGGAUCAAGUUGUAGGUAAAGAGGUUCAUGUUGAUAAUCGAAUUAGAGGCAGAGAAUUU